GACGGAGGGUGCUAGCGUUGUUCGGAAUCACUGGGCGUAAAGGGCGCGUAGGCGGCCUGAGAAGUCGGAUGUGAAAGCCCGGGGCUCAACCUCGGAGGUGCAUCCGAGACUCUUGGGCUGGGGGCCGGAAGAGGAGGGUGGAAUACCCAGUGUAGAGGUGAAAUUCGUAGAUAUUGGGUGGAACACCGGUGGCGAAAGCGGCUCUCUGGUCCGGACCUGACGCUGAGGCGCGAAAGCGUGGGGAGCAAACAGG
rnacentral:rRNA from 1 species